CAUCUCUAGUGAAGAUAUUUU
rnacentral:snRNA from 1 species